rnacentral:rRNA from 1 species
AUUGAACGCUGGCGGCAGGCCUAACACAUGCAAGUCGAGCGGCAGCGACUUAACUGAACCUUCGGGGAACGUUAAGGGCGGCGAGCGGCGGACGGGUGAGUAAUGCCUGGGAAUAUGCCCUGAUGUGGGGGAUAACUAUUGGAAACGAUAGCUAAUACCGCAUAAUCUCUUCGGAGCAAAGAGGGGGACCUUCGGGCCUCUCGCGUCAGGAUUAGCCCAGGUGGGAUUAGCUUGUUGGUGAGGUAAUGGCUCACCAAGGCAACGAUCCCUAGCUGGUCUGAGAGGAUGAUCAGCCACACUGGAACUGAGACACGGUCCAGACUCCUACGGGAGGCAGCAGUGGGGAAUAUUGCACAAUGGGGGAAACCCUGAUGCAGCCAUGCCGCGUGUGUGAAGAAGGCCUUCGGGUUGUAAAGCACUUUCAGUAGGGAGGAAGGUAGUGUAGUUAACACCUGCAUUAUUUGACGUUACCUACAGAAGAAGCACCGGCUAACUCCGUGCCAGCAGCCGCGGUAAUACGGAGGGUGCGAGCGUUAAUCGGAAUUACUGGGCGUAAAGCGCAUGCAGGCGGCCUGUUAAGUCAGAUGUGAAAGCCCGGGGCUUAACCUCGGAAUUGCAUUUGGAACUGGCAGGCUAGAGUCUUGUAGAGGGGGGUAGAAUUUCAGGUGUAGCGGUGAAAUGCGUAGAGAUCUGAAGGAAUACCAGUGGCGAAAGCGGCCCCCUGGACAAAGACUGACGCUCAGAUGCGAAAGCGUGGGGAGCAAACAGG